CCUACGGGCGGCAGCAGUGGGGAAUAUUGGGCAAUGGGCGAAAGCCUGACCCAGCAAUGCCGCGUGAAUGAAGAAGGUCUUAGGCUUGUAAAAUUCUUUCCUACGGGAAGAAAAAAAUGACGGUACCAUAGGAGGAAGCCUCGGCUAACUACGUGCCAGCAGCCCCGGUAAGACGGAGGGGGCGAGCGGUGAUCGGAUUUACUGGGGGUAAAGAGAGCGUAGGUGGGACUACAAGUCUCAUGUGAAAUACCCGGGGUUAAAUUGGGGGUUGCCUGGGAAACUGUAUAGCUUGAGUACAGGAGAGGCAAGCGGAAUGCCUAGUGUAGCGGUGAAAUGCAUAGAUAUUAGGAAGAACACCAGUGGCGAAGGCAGCUUGCUGGACUGAAACUGACGCUGAGGCUCGAAAGCGUGGGGAGCAAACAGGAUUAGAUACCCUGGUAGUC
rnacentral:rRNA from 1 species